GCGUCGGUGGUACAACGGUUACAGCACGCCCCCCCCCGGAAAGGUGAAGUGCGAGUUCGAGUAUCGCCUGACGUC